ACUUCCAUAGUAACCGUGGCGUCAAGAGGAAGAACAAUGACCAUUUCCCGUUUUUGCUCAUAAAGGUUAAAUCCAGGGUAAUUACUAUUUUGAAUGAAAAUGGCUGGAACAAGGGAGCAAGCAAAACAAUACCUUGCUACCCACAAAAUACCUCAGAUGUUUGAAAGCUUACUGAGCUGUUUAAUGUUGGAAAGACCAGAUGAUCCAGUUUUAUACAUCGAGAAAAGAAUGUCAGAAAUCAAACAAAUAGGACUUGAAAAUGUUAACUGGGAAACCUUUGUGUUCCACAUGCACCCCUAUAGGGACCCCCUGAGGAGAACGAUGAUUCAUGAUGAGAGCAAGUAUGACAAAGAAAGACAAGAGGAGGAAGAGGCCAGACAGGAGAAAGAACGGGGACAAACCCAGAGUCAGGCCAGUUACAAACCAGAAGUCUUUCAACUCACAGAAACAUAACAAUAGUAUUCUAAUAGGAGAAUUUCUAUUGGUGCAUGGAAGAGAAGUUUCUAUUUAAAACCCAGUUUAUGGGGUGAAUGAAAAGAAUUUGAAUAUAUUUUUAUUUGAAGUAUAAGAGAUAUAUUUUAUAUCUGUAUUCAAGCAUAUUUUUUUGUGUUUUUUUUUUCUUUUUGCCAUACUUUUCAACAUGAACUUCCCUUUUGCUUGAGGUAUUUUAAAGUAUUAUAGCAAAAUGUUAUACAGAUAUUAACUUGCCAUUUUCAUAAAGAAUUUCAUAUUAUAGUAUGUUGCUGUCUAGUUGUGCAGGCAUUAACAAAAUAUGGCCGAUUUUGAGUGCUCAUCAGUUUUCAUAAUCAGUUAUUCAAUAUUUUAUUUUCCUAUUAUAUUCUUCCAGACUUUUCCUGUCUGUCUCUUUAUUGAACCUUAUCAUAAAAUGAUAUACUGCAUGAUCCUUUCAAUGUUUUAAGAAAUACCAAUCAAUAUACCUCAAUGCAUAUAGCUAUCCAAAAGAUGAUUGUCUUUUUUUUCUGUACAAUAUUAUGUUUUCUUAACUAUAUCCACCCCUAGUCCUUUAUCACUUUACUUUUUUUAUUAUCUAUGAAACUUUGUUGUGCAAGACCACCCAUUUUUCUGUUGUUGCUUUUUUCUGUAUUUGUUAUUUAUAAUAGUUACAUUUUGCGACCACCUGUGAUAUAUAUUGUCAAAUCUUUUUUUUUCAAAUCAAAUUUUUGAAGAUAUGCGUUGGAUUUUUUUUUUUUAGUCUUUGCUUUGAAUUUGGUAAAUGUAAACUGUAAACAUUUGUUUAUGUGGAUUGUUUAUGUUUAUUGAAGUGUGAAUUGUGACAGCUAUGUGGACAAACAUGGAAAUUGUGAUAGAGCGGGAUCAGUGAAUUAACAAUAUUGAUAGAAUAAACAAGAAGAAAACAUGCAUAAGAAUAAGCUCACAUAUUUUUGCUUGAAAUGACGGUUUUGAGGCAACAGAGUUGAGCGUUUUAUAUAUAAUUGUUAUAUUUUUGUUGCUGAAUAUCUGUUUUCUUGAUUCCAGUUUUUGCAUGAACAUGCAUUAAUUUGGCUGAAAGCUGAAUUGAGAGAGAAAUGUAAAUGUUAAUUGAGUGUCACUUUUUCAUGUAAAAAAUAAAAGUAUUUUAACUU
rnacentral:sRNA from 1 species